AUCUAAUCUCUUUCCUUUCUAGGGCUGUUCAUACAUAGUUCCUUCAAAAGAAGAAAGGGGUGCCUGCCAAGUUUCCUGGUCAUGAUACUCCCCCUCCAGGGUGUCUUACCAGCAUGUACACCUGUGCACUCCAUACAUGCAGUGCCUGUGAAGGUCAACCAGAAUCCCCCGGAUUCCCUGGAACUGGAGUUACACACAGUUGUGAUCUGUCAUAUAGAAGCUGGGAAUCGAACCCACAUCCUCUGGAAAAGAAUACAAUGCUCUUAACUGUGGAAGCGUCUUCCUAGCCCCUGGUGAAUGAAUUUUGAUAAAAAUGCUGAAGUUA